rnacentral:rRNA from 1 species
UACAGAGGGGGCAAGCGUUGUUCGGAAUUACUGGGCGUAAAGGGCGCGUAGGCGGCCUUCUAAGUCGAACGUGAAAUCCCCGGGCUCAACCCGGGAACUGCGUCCGAUACUGGAAGGCUUGAAUCCGGGAGAGGAACGCGGAAUUCCAGGUGUAGCGGUGAAAUGCGUAGAUAUCUGGAGGAACACCGGUGGCGAAGGCGGCGUUCUGGACUGCAACUGACACUGAGAGACGAAAGCCAGGGGAGCAAACGGG